AAUCAUUUGAAGGGUCAGAAUCAGUACCAAUCCACAUUCUCAGGGGAGAAAGACUCACCUGUGUUACGGCCCAGAGAAGAGGGAGAAAGGAGAGAGGGUGGCAGGCAGACAGAAAGGAAUGGGGCAGCUGGCCAGAACUUGGUCACCUGAAAGAAAAACACAAUGUUCAGCUUUCUUAUCAUACAAACGCUUCAUUUUUUUUCUGUGCAGAUGAUAGUUUCUCUUUUGCCAACUGUGUAGCAGUAAAGAGUCUGCUUAAACCCAUUAACAUAAUGCAACAAGUUUUGUGGGGGUUCAGCAUCUUUCCACUCAUCUCGCAAAACGGUUUCUGGCCCACACACAGUUUUGAAACAGCUGCCUGACCAAAAUUGCCUCAUUGCGACUCCAGAAAGGUGGAAGAAACGGCAAACAUUUCAUGUCAACUUCUUAAAACCUUACCAUGUUCGUGCUGAGACUGUAUUGGUGGAUGAAAUUCACCCUGUAUGCAUUGGUGAAACAGUGACCUCUGCUGGAGGUGAGUGGAAUGGCGAUGGGUUGCCUGCUCCAGAUUGAGCCAUUCUAACUGGUCGACUUAAGAAUUCUGAAGUACUGAAAAACUUGGACAUUGUGCUGAGUUAUUGUGACGUCCCCCUCCACUUGACGUGGAGGGAUCCGUCAGUUAUUGUGUUUUGUCCUGAGGCGGAGCAGAGUGGGCGGGACCAGGAUUCGCCAGGACCAGCGCGUCAUCGCUAUAAAAGGGAGUCGGCUUCUCCACCCAGCAGGGCUCUACAGAGAACUUCUCCGGUUAUCACUGACUUCAGAGAUGCCGUCGACCACCGAGGGGGAUACCCGCUUGUCGCUGUUUGGGCUUUGUUAAUGUGUUUGGGUUGUUCAAUAAAGAACAUAUUCUUUAUUUGAUAGCCGUGUUUCUCUGGCUUUUGUUACGGCUCACGAGUCAGGUCGUAACAGUUAUUUACCAGAGACUCGGUGCUUUGAGUUGAUUCAGUUGAUAAAAUCUCACUCUGAUUUAUUUGCCGAUGUUCCAUCCUGCACACACCUGAUCAAACGUGAUAUUGAGGUGGGUGAUGCACGACCUAUAAAACAGCAUUUUUAUAGGGUUAACCCAGAAAAACGCAAACAUCUGGAUGCUGAGGUUGACUACAUGUUAAAACAUGGCAUCGCUCAAGCAUCAUGUUCAAGCUGGUCUUCACCUUGCUUGCUAGUUCCAAAUUCAGACAAAACCUAUCAGUUUUGUUCCGACUUCAGAAAAGUCAAUAGCAUAACCAAACCUGAUUCAUACCCUUAUGAAUUGACCAGAUUGGUAAUGCUAAAUUCAUUAGUAACAUAGACCUACUAAAACCCUAGUGUCAUUGCAGAUGCUUUGUCAAGAGCACAAAGUCAGUAACUUUUUUUCUUUUUCUCUCCUUUCCUGUCUAACAGAGUCACUUCAAGGUACCAGUUGUUGCCUUAGACCGGAAGGGAUUUAAGUUUUGUUAUUAUUAUUUUUGCUCCAUCUCAGCUGGCCUGAGAUAUUGUGACUGCAUUUAAUUUUGUUUUUUCUAUUUUUCUAGACGUUAAUACACAGGUUGCCCACGGUUCCGGUGGGACGCUGUCUUGAAGAUGGGGGAGGGGAGAGAUUACGGCCCAAGGCCCCUCCUCAACUUACUUCAGAAGAUCAGGAGCUUUCAGGGCUCUGUGAUGGACUGGUGACCUGUCCAGGGUGAACUCUGCCUCUCAUCUGAUGACUGCUGGAGAUGGGCUUUUAAGGUAGCUUUUAAGGCAAAUAAGUCACUCAGAAAUGUUUUUUCACUCCGGUCCCAAUCAUCAUCAGUUCUGAUGAUGUCACAUACAUAGCGAGUCCACAACAUCCUGAAAUUGUUUCUGUAAAGUGCAGUGAAUGGGAACUGGAGUUCACUGGAGUGCAGUGAACUCCAGUGUUACUGCAGUUUGUCUGCAGUAACACUGGAAUACUGUGACAUUGUAUUAAAACAAUAUUUUGUCCUUGGUGAAACAUUUUUCACAUUUCAUCUAAAGUGUAUCUGUUGUUUUAUUGUACACAUUUUUAUAAGCAUGUUGUCUGUAAACCAUUAAUACUGUAUAUUGACAAUUUAUAAAAUUCUCUGAUAGUAUAUUGGCAAUGUACUCUUGAAAAAUGUGAAUAUAUUGAAUACACAAUGUAAUUAGUUUCACCUGGAAAGUGUGUUGUAAUUGAUCCUUCUGUGUUCUGGUAGCCUGAUAUGUUGGCAGUACUGCAGUGUGUAUGAAGCAUGUAAUGUACAAAGUGGCAAAGCAGAAUAAUAAAAUACAUAAAGUAA